rnacentral:tRNA from 2 species
GGGUCGUUAGCUCAGUUGGUAGAGCAGUUGACUUUUAAUCAAUUGGUCGCAGGUUCGAAUCCU